UAGGGAUUGAAGCGGAAAUCCUUUUGCGGCCGCAGCGCAGCGGAGGCCGUAAAAGAUUGCAGCGGAAAGCCCGACCCGCA
rnacentral:sRNA from 1 species